rnacentral:lncRNA from 1 species
ACAAUUAACCUCUGCACUAAUAAAUCUUUUCCAAAUUAAUGAAAUUCACUUGUAGAUGCUGAGAGACUCAGUUGAGGUGAGGACCCCAGCCCAGGCUGCAAGGGGUGUCUACUACCUCGAAGAAGAUUGUGUGUGUAUGUGUGGAUCAGAACUCAACUGAACUUGAAAUGCCAGGCCUGCUGUUUCACACGCUCUGGACAUCAUGAAGACAGUUUUCCCUCCUAGCCUCGGCUCCUACUGUAGCAGUGAGAUGAACCUGCAUCUAAGGGGGCUUGCUCAGUGUAAGAUCAGGGAAUGAGCAAUGUGGUCGACUGCCAGUGACUAAGUCAGCGGGGCAGACUAUCCAGCCAAGCAGUUACCAAGUUGUCUGAAGGUUAAUGCCAACAACGAGAUCAAUACAUUAGCAAAGGCAACCACACUUCCUGCCAGAGGAAAGCAAGUGUUUCUAGAAAGUGGCCCAGAUCUGGACUCAGAAGAUGCACUGUGAGGACAUCCAAACCGCUCGGUCUCAGUCCUGGAUGAGAGGAGGUGCCAGCUGAGACCAGGGUCUGCUCAGGCGCAUUUGCUCACCACCUAUGGGAUGCCAAGUGCCUCCAUGGACUCUCAGAGAAGACUGGGUGUGUUCAGGACGCUAUGGCCAUGAUACAUAUUCUAAGUGUACAUUGAGGGCAACGAGGAGAAUCUGCUGAAGGCCUUGCAGGCCUCACCUGGGUGUCCUGCCCGAUAGAAUAGACUGAGGACAAUGAGACACAGGCUAGAGGCUUGUUCUUGGACAGACCCUCUGCCCUGAGCUCCACAUAAACACUUAGUGGGCUCUCAUUCCAGUCAGCAUGAGGCCUGCCUCAUCCUGAACUCAGCAAUCUCACUGUGGGGCCUUUUACCUUAUGAUCUCCCAUUGCCAUCCAAAGAGCUUGUGCUUGAUCUCCAGCCACCGGUUAAUACUCACAGGUCUUACUCAUGUUUCCGCAUCCUCUGCAUCCUUCAUUCUGUACCACACUGCCUCAGAGGAGUGAUCCAUCACCUCUCUGAUUUCCAGGAGAGCAAUGAGAGGACACAAAGGGAAGUUGCCAAGUCACCUAAAAUAACACCAGCUGAACCUUCCAGUGCCUCUGUCCUCUAGAAUUCCUAUAUGUCCCCUCCUUGGUAAGUGGCACACAUAGACGAGAUUGAACACUCACUGUCCCUAAGGCCUCUGAGCACUCUGUGGACUUGAACUCUCUAGAACCGAAGACUACUUUCUCCUAGGAGGCUUGCUCAGUUCAGUCUGAGGUGGCCUUGAGUCAGGACUUUGCUUUGCUAUCUCAGGGCUAUCUGUGAUCCCGUUACGUUAUAACAGGAGGUGUGCUUCAUUUGGUGUCCAUGUUGGUUGGAUUCCUGUUACUACUUUUAUGUGAUGGGGCCUCUCAUCCCAACCUUAUGCCCAUGGUGCACACCAAUGCAGACAGUCACAAUGAAGCUUGGUGACCUUGGGGCUAACUUUUCUACUUUAUAGGUGAGAAAAGUCAGACUUUAAGGGCUUAAAAGAGCUUCUAGAAGCCACAGAGAUGGUCAACCAGUCACACCUAUGAACCUCUCAUCUCGAAAUGUAAUGUUUUUCCCAUGUAAAUGCAGCCUUGUCAGCCAAACUGUCCCCAAGGUGGACUAUGUUGCUGAGAGCUACGUGUGGUUUCCAGGGACAUGGGGGAGGCAGGCUGUAGGUCAGCUGCUCAGUGGCCUACCGUUGCUUCUGAUAUCAGGUUGUUCUAAAACCCAGGGAACCCUUGAUCAUCUAAGGGACCUGAGUCAUGUCCCCACCCCUACACACACACACACACACACACACACACACACACACUUCAAACCAUAAGCUGGAGUUCUAACCACAGAGUGUGACGGUUUGGAGGUACCAGACCUAGAGCCUUAAAGAGAUUCCGUCAAAGUGAGAUCAUGGGGGUGGCCCUCAUGAAGGCUGACUCAGUCCUAAUAUGAAGAGAUGAGGAUUUAAGCUCACAGGAAGAUGGAAGCCCAUGAGGACAAGGGGGAAAGCCAGGGAGAGAGGAUCCAAGAGGAAGCUUGCUUUUGGGCUUCUGGUGCAUAACUCUCUGAUAUAGGUCGUUUUUUAAUGGAGGUCAAAGCAGACAAAAGGAGAUGAGAUAAUUUCAUCAUGGGGAUUCCACUGAUGUGAUGCCAAACACUGGUAAGCACAGAUUCCACUGUUGGCCACUGUGAUCUUGUCCCCGUAGCUCACUGCAAGCUGAACAGAUGACAUUAGAUCUUGGAGUUGACUUUUGUCCACUUGGGAGAUACACCCUGGUCCCUUCAGUCCUCAGGAUCACUCUCCUCUCAAAUGCCUUCUGAGGUGGUGGUGGUGGCUUCUCCAUCCAUGGCCCUGUUUUUCUGGCAGGUUCUGUCUGAUGAGCAGGCCAGCUCAGCAGGAGGGAAGGUGUAGUAAGUUAUAAAGCUGUGCUGGAAGAUGAGGAGAGAGGCUGGCCAGAUGGAAUGGGAGUGGGUGUCGCCUCCAUUCUGUCACAAGAUGGCAGGAGCAUGACAGUCUUCUAUGCCAGAAGGAUGUGAGACUAGCCAAGAACAAGACCCCUGUCCCAGGUGGAGCUGGGGCUAGACCCCCACCUUCUGAUAUUUGUCAGAUCGGUCUCAUUCAGGAAGCAUACAAGACAUACACAUCUUCAGAUUCUGAUGUUUCUAACACGAGGCAUAGCCUUCAUGGCAAUGGAAACUGUGAGUUUGCUCUUUCUUCUCUGUCUGAGGUAUGAUUCAGCCAAUGAAUGGCUGUCACCAUCUAUCAUGUGAUAGCCACUGUGAGGGUCAGGGGGAAGGAAGCUCACACUUACCUCAGCCAUCUGAUAAUAUCCUUGUCACUUACAUGGCUUACCCCUGGCUUUCUUUUUGGUCAUCCUGUGAGAUAAGCAAGCCAGAAGUAGGGCUAGGGCAGGGCUCUCUUCCCAUGGAAAUGCAUCCUUGUCAGGCUUGGCAUUUGCUUCCAGAGCUGAGUGCCUCAGCCAGCAUCACAGCCGCUUCCUUACAGCUCCUGUCAGUGAAGGGCUGUUCUGGGUCUUUCUCUGGGAGAGUCACAGUUCUGCAUAGGCCUUGUGCUGUCUCUUGAUAAGCUCUUGGGCAUCAUUUUAGCAUCAAUUGAACAUGCAGAGUCGCUCUUACAGGGUGGGAGAUGGACUUGGUGACAUUUUUUUGGAAAGGAAACAGAUGAGGUGACAAAACUUCAGAAUGGCUCCAAGUGACAUGGGUUCAAUAAUUAGCAGCACAUUAUGUCCUUCAGUGAUUUAAUACCUACUGUAUAUGUCGUGUUCAUGGGGCUUAGGGACUGGUGUGCCCCAAGGUCACAUAGCCAGAAAGGAGCUGAGCUGGGGGCCACAAUCAUGUCUGUCCUGGAACUAGGGUGAGUCCUUAUAUGUGGCCACACUGUUUCUGUUAUAGAGACAUUUACUUAGUUUUAUGGCCUAUAGGUCCUGGGCUAUGUGAUAGAGACUUCAAGAAACUCCCACAGUCUGGCAUCGACUGUACCCCAGAACCAUGGAUGUAUGGAACUGGUGGAAAGUCAAGGAAGGAAAUAUGUCUUAGAAAAAUUGAAGUAUAUGUUUAUUUAAACAAACCAAACCAAACCAAUCCUGCAAUGUUCCCUACCGUAAAGCUCAAAAUACAAAAGGUAAGAGGUCACAAGGAGAACAGUUACCUCUAACUUUUCCUGCAGAAGUCAGCUCCGGGUACUUGCCAAUGUAAGUUCUGUUCUGUUUCCCCUACACAUCAGUUUUCUUGAAAAGUUGUAAUUAUCCAUUGAUUGUAGGUUCAGCAGACAAAACCUUGGUUGUUCUCAUUUUCCAUUUUCUUCCUGAUAUCCGUACAGUUCCCAUGCAGCUGCGCUCAAGCAGGGACCAGUAGAAGAAAACAAAACACCCAGCGUGGUGUUCUCCUGUCUUCAUUUAGAGUUUAAUGCACAGCUCCCCGUUCCCACCCUCUGUGUCUAGCAUCUUUUAAGUGAACACAUAGCUUAAUACUCUUGUGUGCUGCAUUGUCUCCUGUGGGUGGCGAUUUAUGUGUCUCCCAGGAUUUCAGAAUGUAGCCUGUGCUCAAUA